GGAAGGAUCAUUCACGCUAAUAUUCUAUUUGUCACUGCUGGGUUCAACCAGCAACUAACUUAACUAAGCUGAGACAUCGCGUCUUGGUCUGCUAGCAUAACCAAAUAUAAACUCAUGACGAUUGAUGCCUAGGUUCGGAACUCGAUGAAGGACGCAGCAAAGUGCGAUAAGCACUGUGACUUGCAGAUUUCAGCGAAUCAGUAGAUCUCUCAACGCAAAAGGUGCUAGGAAAGCUCGCCUACCUGGCAGGUACGUUUCAGCGUCGUUUAUUUUUGCAAUCAUUUGCGUCUUAAUUGACGUUACUUGAUUUGCAUUUUUGCCGGUUGCAGUUCGCUGUUUCCGUGCGUCUGAGCCCGCUAAAUUGAGUGGCGGGCUUAUUCAGCAAGCAUUACUUACAUGUAAAUAAUGCAUGCUCACAAAUAAUAUCGCCCUGAAAUGUACCAGGCUACCCGCUGAAUUUAAGCAUAUCAUUAAGCGGAGGAAAAGAAACUAACAAGGAUUCCCUUAGUAAUGGCGAAUGAACAGGGAAGAGCUCGCCGCUGAAUCGGGGGUUACACCUCGAAUUGUAGCGUCGGAUUGGCCAGUGUAUUGCGAAGUUGAACUUCUCUGGAAAGAGAGACCAUAGAGGGUGAAAGUCCCGUCUAAGCUUCUGCAUACGCGUACGGCAAGUCCUUUGACGAGUCACGCUCUUUGGGAGUAGAGCGUAAAUACGGGAGGUACAUUCCUUCUAAAGCUAAAUAUUGUUCCGAAACCGAUAGAGAACAAGUACCGUGAGGGAAAGGUGAAAAGAACUUUGGAAAGAGGGUUAAAAGUGCCUGAGAUCGUCAUGGGGGAAGCCAAGGUUGACCCUUGUCGUGGCCGGACUUUGCGUAACGCAGCAAUGUGGAGCGUAAAAUUCUGGCUGGGACUGCAUCACCAACUGGAUUUCGUAUUACCUCGUCUGGCGGUGUCUUCGGAUUCGGCCUUACGAAAUACGAUGCUGGUUGUAUUUUUGGAUCCGUGCAACUUGUGUUCAUGUGUGACGGCUAGCACAAAUUGUUCUUCGGGACCAUGCGUGUUUAGUCGCUGCUCACGGGUAUAAGCGGCGGUAUCUCAAUCGUGGUGCCAAAGGUUGAUCUCGGACCCGUCUUGAAACACGGACCAAGGAGUCUAACGUACAUGCGAGUGUGUGAGACCUAAAUCUCCCACGCGAAGUGAAAGCAAUACCUUCAUGAGCGCAAGUUUGUAGAAGGUACCGAAUCUUGAUCCACGGAGAUAGAUUUGAGUGUGAGCAUGUACGAUAGGACCCGAAAGAUGGUGAACUAUACCUGAGUAGGGUGAAGCCAGGGGAAACUCUGGUGGAAGCUCGUAGCGAUACUGACGUGCAAAUCGUUCGUCAAACUUGGGUAUAGGGGCGAAAGACUAAUCGAACCAUCUAGUAGCUGGUUCCCUC
rnacentral:misc_RNA from 1 species